rnacentral:rRNA from 1 species
AUUGAACGCUGGCGGCAUGCCUUACACAUGCAAGUCGAACGGCAGCAUGGGUGCUUGCACCUGAUGGCGAGUGGCGAACGGGAGAGUAAUGCAUCGGAACGUACCCGGAAGUGGGGGAUAACGUAGCGAAAGUUACGCUAAUACCGCAUAUUCUGUGAGCAGGAAAGCGGGGGAUCGCAAGCCCUCGCGCUUCCGGAGCGGCCGAUGUCGGAUUAGCUAGUUGGCGGGGUAACGGCCUACCAAGGCGACGAUCCGUAGCUGGUCUGAGAGGACGACCAGCCACACUGGGACUGAGACACGGCCCAGACUCCUACGGGAGGCAGCAGUGGGGAAUAUUGGACAAUGGGGGCAACCCUGAUCCAGCGACGCCGCGUGUAUGAAGAAGGCCUGCGGGUUGUAAAGCACUUUUAGUGGGGAUGAAAAGCACAUUGCUAAUACCAGUGUGUCUUGACCUAACCCAAAGAAAGAGCACCGGCUAACUCUGUGCCAGCAGCCGCGGUAA